rnacentral:lncRNA from 1 species
GUUUCCAGCAAACCACCGUGACAGCUCCUCCGGAAUCCACUGUUGGCUUGGUCUCUAAAUCCUCAGCAUCUUCGUGAUCUUCCCUGGCAGCCUCAGCAGCAUCUGCUUGGCUAGACUCUCUCUCCUCUUGGUUCAUGAUUUCUGGGGUCACGUGGUCCAAAUCUGCUUCUAGAAGUUCAGUUUGUACUUCCACUGGCAUUUGAUUGACCCGUUCAACAUGCAGCUCCUCUACAUGUACUUCAGUACCUUCUUCAGUCUGAAUUCGGCCCACUUCUAGAUAACUCACUUGGACCUGCUCUGGAAGCUCACUCAUGUGUGAAUCGUGCACCUGGCUGUCCUGGAGCAGAUCUGGAUGGACUUGUUCCACAGUCACUUGUGCUGAAUCCACCUGAACCUGAAGCAAUGGUAGCACAUGCACCUUCCCAACUUGUUCUAUAAUAGUCAUUGAUGUUACAGGUUCAGUUUGCACACGUGUUUCUACUGAAAGAACUUCUUCCGUUACUAGACGCUCUGAAAUAUUGUGAGCAUCACUGAGAUGCCUCCUUAAUUCAUUUCCUUGCAUAAACCACAAAUCACAUAAAGUACAAUGGUUGGGUUUAUCUCCAGUGUGUAUUACCAAGUGAUCUUUGAACUGGUCCCAGCUGUUAAACACACUGUUGCAGACCUGAAAUAACCAAAAAUAUGAUGUAGACAAUACUUAUAUCCAAACUGAAGGAAAUAUGAAUGCAUUUAUUCUCUGUAAAGAAAAGAUUGAAGGCUUAUUCUGUAAAUGUUAUAAAUAUGGUACCUGCAAUAGAAUCUCGUCCAAGCUAUUUCAUAAUUCUUUGGUUCAUU